rnacentral:rRNA from 1 species
GGUUAAGCGACUAAGCGUACACGGUGGAUGCCCUGGCAGUCAGAGGCGAUGAAGGACGUGCUAAUCUGCGAAAAGCGUCGGUAAGGUGAUAUGAACCGUUAUAGCCGGCGAUGUCCGAAUGGGGAAACCCAGUGCAAUUCGUUGCACUAUCGUUAACUGAAUACAUAGGUUAACGAGGCGAACCGGGGGAACUGAAACAUCUAAGUACCCCGAGGAAAAGAAAUCAACCGAGAUUCCCCCAGUAGCGGCGAGCGAACGGGGAGCAGCCCAGAGUCUGAAUCAGCUUGUGUGUUAGUGGAACGGUCUGGAAAGUCCGACGGUACAGGGUGAUAGUCCCGUACACCAAAAUGCACAGGCUGUGAACUCGAAGAGUAGGGCGGGACACGUGGUAUCCUGUCUGAAUAUGGGGGGACCAUCCUCCAAGGCUAAAUACUCCUGACUGACCGAUAGUGAACCAGUACCGUGAGGGAAAGGCGAAAAGAACCCCGGCGAGGGGAGUGAAAAAGAACCUGAAACCGUGUACGUACAAGCAGUGGGAGCACCUUCGGGUGUGACUGCGUACCUUUUGUAUAAUGGGUCAGCGACUUAUAUUCUGUAGCAAGGUUAACCGUAUAGGGGAGCCGCAGGGAAACCGAGUCUUAACUGGGCGUUAAGUUGCAGGGUAUAGACCCGAAACCCGGUGAUCUAGCCAUGGGCAGGUUGAAGGUUGGGUAACACUAACUGGAGGACCGAACCGACUAAUGUUGAAAAAUUAGCGGAUGACUUGUGGCUGGGGGUGAAAGGCCAAUCAAACCGGGAGAUAGCUGGUUCUCCCCGAAAGCUAUUUAGGUAGCGCCUCGUGAACUCAUCUUCGGGGGUAGAGCACUGUUUCGGCUAGGGGGUCAUCCCGACUUACCAACCCGAUGCAAACUACGAAUACCGAAGAAUGUUAUCACGGGAGACACACGGCGGGUGCUAACGUCCGUCGUGAAGAGGGAAACAACCCAGACCGCCAGCUAAGGUCCCAAAGUCAUGGUUAAGUGGGAAACGAUGUGGGAAGGCACAGACAGCCAGGAUGUUGGCUUAGAAGCAGCCAUCAUUUAAAGAAAGCGUAAUAGCUCACUGGUCGAGUCGGCCUGCGCGGAAGAUGUAACGGGGCUAAACCAUGCACCGAAGCUGCGGCAGCGACACUAUGUGUUGUUGGGUAGGGGAGCGUUCUGUAAGCCUGCGAAGGUGACCUGUGAGGGUUGCUGGAGGUAUCAGAAGUGCGAAUGCUGACAUAAGUAACGAUAAAGCGGGUGAAAAGCCCGCUCGCCGGAAGACCAAGGGUUCCUGUCCAACGUUAAUCGGGGCAGGGUGAGUCGACCCCUAAGGCGAGGCCGAAAGGCGUAGUCGAUGGGAAACAGGUUAAUAUUCCUGUACUUGGUGUUACUGCGAAGGGGGGACGGAGAAGGCUAUGUUAGCCGGGCGACGGUUGUCCCGGUUUAAGCAUGUAGGCUGGUUGUCCAGGCAAAUCCGGAUAAUCAAGGCUGAGGUGUGAUGACGAGGCACUACGGUGCUGAAGUAACAAAUGCCCUGCUUCCAGGAAAAGCCUCUAAGCAUCAGGUAACAUUAAAUCGUACCCCAAACCGACACAGGUGGUCAGGUAGAGAAUACCAAGGCGCUUGAGAGAACUCGGGUGAAGGAACUAGGCAAAAUGGUGCCGUAACUUCGGGAGAAGGCACGCUGGUGUGUAGGUGAAGUCCCUGCGGAUGGAGCUGAGACCAGUCGAAGAUACCAGCUGGCUGCAACUGUUUAUUAAAAACACAGCACUGUGCAAACACGAAAGUGGACGUAUACGGUGUGACGCCUGCCCGGUGCCGGAAGGUUAAUUGAUGGGGUUAUCCGUAAGGAGAAGCUCUUGAUCGAAGCCCCGGUAAACGGCGGCCGUAACUAUAACGGUCCUAAGGUAGCGAAAUUCCUUGUCGGGUAAGUUCCGACCUGCACGAAUGGCGUAAUGAUGGCCAGGCUGUCUCCACCCGAGACUCAGUGAAAUUGAACUCGCUGUGAAGAUGCAGUGUACCCGCGGCAAGACGGAAAGACCCCGUGAACCUUUACUAUAGCUUGACACUGAACAUUGAGCCUUGAUGUGUAGGAUAGGUGGGAGGCUUUGAAGCGUGGACGCCAGUCUGCGUGGAGCCAACCUUGAAAUACCACCCUUUAAUGUUUGAUGUUCUAACGUUGGCCCCUUACCGGGGUUGCGGACAGUGUCUGGUGGGUAGUUUGACUGGGGCGGUCUCCUCCCAAAGCGUAACGGAGGAGCACGAAGGUUAGCUAAUCCUGGUCGGACAUCAGGAGGUUAGUGCAAUGGCAUAAGCUAGCUUGACUGCGAGCGUGACGGCGCGAGCAGGUGCGAAAGCAGGUCAUAGUGAUCCGGUGGUUCUGAAUGGAAGGGCCAUCGCUCAACGGAUAAAAGGUACUCCGGGGAUAACAGGCUGAUACCGCCCAAGAGUUCAUAUCGACGGCGGUGUUUGGCACCUCGAUGUCGGCUCAUCACAUCCUGGGGCUGAAGUAGGUCCCAAGGGUAUGGCUGUUCGCCAUUUAAAGUGGUACGCGAGCUGGGUUUAGAACGUCGUGAGACAGUUCGGUCCCUAUCUGCCGUGGGCGCUGGAGAAUUGAGGGGGGCUGCUCCUAGUACGAGAGGACCGGAGUGGACGCAUCACUGGUGUUCGGGUUGUCAUGCCAAUGGCACUGCCCGGUAGCUAAAUGCGGAAGAGAUAAGUGCUGAAAGCAUCUAAGCACGAAACUUGCCCCGAGAUGAGUUCUCCCUGAGACUUUAAGUCUCCUGAAGGAACGUUGAAGACGACGACGUUGAUAGGCCGGGUGUGUAAGCGCAGCGAUGCGUUGAGCUAACCGGUACUAAUGAACCGUGAGGCUUAACCUU